GAGACGCACAGGACAAAAAAAAGUCCCACCGCGCACCGUCCGACGCACCGACGCGCCCUGCCUCUCUCCCCGGCGCGCCCUCGCUCUCUCUCGGCUCGGGUUCACUCCUCGCCGCGCUGUGCUUCCGGAGCUUCUCGCGGUGGAUUUUGGGAGUGUUACGGGGACACAGGGGGCUCGGUGGGGGAUGGAGGUCGCUGGGUCCGGCUGAGCACACACGGACUCAGGGAGAAGAACAGGGGGAGUGGGGGUCGGACAGAAGCCCCAGGCCCUGCGCACAGGCUUUGUUUUCCUGACCGAGCUCCGAGCGCCGCUCCUCGGUUUUGUUCCACUCUGAUUCCCGGUUCACUGGUAGCUGGGGCUUGACGCCUGAUUUCCCGGGACCCAACCGUUUAUUGGAGCGGAGUGUUCCUGUGUUUCUGCUCCGUUUUCAGCAGCGCCUCCUCGGCUCAUUCAUCCACAGCUCGCCCCUCCUCUCCGCGCGUCCUUCGCUUCUUCUCGACCUCCAUCAUGGCUCCUCCGCUCCGAGGGUCGUGGCUCUCCUGCGGGCUGAUGCUGCUGCUUCUACCCGCCGCAUGGAGCUCUUUUCCCCGCAGCGGACAGGACUGUGGGCCCGGGAAGGCCUCGGAGUGCACAGACCUGUCUCAGAAGAAGAGUGACCUGAGGGUGUGCGACUCAGGGACAUGUCGUUUUGGAGGAACCUGUCGUGAGAAUGGAGCCGAGAUCAAAUGUGUCUGUCAGUUCCAUUGCCAUAAAAAGUACGUCCCGGUGUGCGGCUCCAACGGCGACACGUAUCAGAACGAGUGUUUCCUGCGACGUGCCGCCUGCAAAAAACAACGAGCCAUCACCGCAGUGUCCCAGGGAGCCUGCUACCAAGAUGGAGGGUCAGGAUCUGCAGAUGGAGACGACGAAGGCUCCGGCCGUGGAAAAAAAGUCUCUAAAUGUGGAAACUGCAAAUACGGAGCAGAGUGUGACGAAGACUCAGAGGACAUGAUAUGCAUGUGUAACAUCGUGUGUAACGGACACAAUGACAACCCAGUGUGUGGCAGUGAUGGAGAGACAUACCCGACCCCGUGUCACGUCAGAGAAGCCUCAUGCCUCAAACAGACCAAGAUCGACAUACGCCACGUGGGCCGCUGCUCAGAUAAAAACAGAAAAGAAGACAGCUCCAAGGUCAAACCAGAUGUUUACGCUGUAUCUAAACCUGGUGAAGGGGAGGGGCUUGCUGAGAGUCCCACCCCCUGUCCUGAAGACUACGCCCAGUUCUGUGAACACGGCCAAUGUGAGAUGAGACACAACCUGCCCACCUGCAGGUGUGAAGCGGCGUAUGGAGGGCCUCAGUGCGAUCAGCUCUUGGACUUUAACAUUCUCUACGUCGUCCCUAGUGGCCAAAAGCUGCACUACGUCCUGAUCGCUGCCAUCAUUGGAGCCGUGCAGAUCGCUGUCAUCGUGGCCGUUGUCAUGUGCUUCACCAGACGGUGUAACAAAUCCAAACGUGGACGUCGACAGAAGCAGCACCUCGGCCAUUUCCCCUCGGGCACCUCGUCGCGGAUGAUGUAAUGCCCUGCCUGCGGAUGAUGUCACUUCCUGUCCCUGUGACGUUUUUUACACUCGUGUUUUGGACCACAGACUGACCUCGCGCGGUGCCUGCUUCCCCUCCUCUGAUUGGUUCCUUCGAGGCCUUAUUUGCUGUUUUUUUUGUUUAGGGCACUGUGGAUCUGACCCAUGAGACGCAGAGCAAGGACGCCACCGCCGCCAUCUUGUUUCUAACGCAUUUCAACUCACAACAGUGCAGCUACAGCUAAAGGUUAUUCUAACCUAAGGCUAGACCAGGACUAAACCAGGACCAAACCAGCUCUAAAUCAGAGAUGAACCCAGGGAUUCAUCCAGGACUUAACCAUAUCAAAACCACUGACCAAACCCGGACUAAACCAGGUCUAAACCAGGGACAAAACCACUGAUUAACCAAGGGAUAAAAAGGGACUAAACUAAGUCUACAUCAGUUCUUAGUUUAAACCUGGUAUAAACCCUGCCAAACCCAGGUUUAAACUAGGAUAAACCAGGUGUAAACCAGGACUAAACCGGGACUAAACAAAGAUCAGCAGAGAGUUCAGAGAAAGAUUUUCUAAUAAUGAAACAGACCCAGACUUUUGCACUCUUUUGUAUACUGUGUAAGUGCUGCCCCUGCUGGUCGUGGUUGUAACUGCUGGUAUGAUAUGAUGUCUUUGGCUGUUUUUAUCCGCGUAGAGAAGCUAGACCUCGAUAAGCUGUAGCCGCCGUGCCGCUAUCGGACAGGGGCGGGUGCCAUGGCGACGGGGCGGGUCACAUGUUUACGGUAGAUGUGCGUGAUGCAUGACGUGUCGUUAAGUGCUGUAGAUCAAUAAACUAAAUUAU